UCACAAAAAAAAAAAAAAAAAAAAAAAAUCAAUAAAAUUAAAUUAAAUAAUUGGAAUUAGCUCCGCCUUUAUUGGGUUGCGUCAUCACAAGCGCUAAGUGGAGGUGAGCAGCGUCAUCUCGGGAAGAAGAGGGAAAUGGCUUCCGGGGCAGUGACGCACGUCAAUUACAGUCCUGAGGUAAGAGAAUAAGUAAGAGAAACCCGUUUAAUAAGUGAAAUUCAUGGGUUUGAAAUUAACAUUAUGCUAACAUCGCUAACAGGAAAGCUGAUAACCGCGUUUGUAUUGCUUCCGAGGAGUAAACGAGCUGAGCUGACUCAUCUGACGAAAACUUUGUAAAACAGACUUCUCUAAUAGUUAACAUUCUUUUCUUGGUAAGUGAGUUCAUAGUGAGUUGAGUUAGUGUUUAAAAGUGUUUAAGUGAGUGUAAUGCGUGUAUUGUAGCUCACGUGCAGUCUCAUGUGCUACGAGCUACAUGCUAAUCGAGUGCAUGCAGGUUAAUUGAAGAAGUUAUUCUUCAUUAUUUUAGUUAUAUUUCUGUUAAAGAAAUGUGUUAAAGAGGGACAUAAGUGCUUGAAAACUGUGUAUUGAUGUAUUUUGGCUUUAUUAUGUUGAAAAUGACCAUUUGAAAUGUUAAGGAUGUAAAAUAGGAAUUUAUUGUAAUUAAUUGUGAAUUUCUCCUAGUCUUUGCAAGGUUUGGUUUUUCCCCCUUCUCCCUUUUUUCCCCCUUCUUUUCUGUUUUGUUGUUCCUGUUCCUUGAGACCUUCGUGGUACUGCAUGAGAGGUUUCUUGAAGUUCUGGUGUAGAGCUGUUUCUGCAGUCAGCGAGGAGUGCUCAACAUUGGUGGAAACUGGCAAGCCAACCUUGUUUUCCUGUACUUGGACAACAACUUGUAACCAUUUAAGUGUUAAAGCACAGUGUUUAGUCCGAGGGGCUGAUGGCCUUGCUGCCUGACAAGGAGUGACAUUUAUCAGGAAGCUGUCCUUCACAGAGUGCGCCACAUGACAUGUCUUCUGUCCAAAACCACUAUGUUUGUACCUCUGGUUCUUCAUCUGUGUGCAUGCCAUGGGGCAGGGGUGAGGAGGACUACUGACAAGACCAGGAGAGAGGGAGCAGAGACACACUUGAGUAAGCUCACUAUCAGAUGAUUAAUUGCUGAGGGGAGAGGGAUUCUGCUCUGGGAGCCACUGCUGAAGGGAACACAAGGCCACAGUCAGGGCGGAGGAGGGGAUGAGGCCAUUCUGCAGAAUUAGAGGUGCAAAUGAAAAACAUUUUCAGACAUACUGUAACUCAUUUGGUGGUGCUUGAUGGUGUUAGAUAAUCAUAUUUAGUAAACAAGGUAUGUAAUUGUAUAAUUCAUGUCAGUCUUUGAGAAAUCAAUUUGAUGUGAACCAAAAAAAAAAAAAACACAUCAUAUUUUAUAUAAAGUCAACCCUCCACUGAGUUACAUUUGCAUUUACAUGUUUCUGGCACAAUUUUUUAUUAUAUCAUUUUAAUCUGUAAAAUAAUUAGAUUACUAUAAAAUAAGUGUUUAUUACUUUGUAGAUCAGUGGUUUGUGGUACAAAAUUUUUUCAUCCAGAGUAUCAAUUAUGUUUCAAUCAUCAAUUAUGUUUCAGUCUAUGAAAGUUAAAUGAAAGUUCCUUUUUUUUUUUUUUUUUGUUUACUUGGUACCAUCAUCCUGUUAAAAAAACACUUCUGUCCUUCAUCUCUUUUUUGUCCUUCAUGUCCUUCAUCUCUAAACAUUUAGCACAUCAUUAACAGGAGUUUAAGAUACUAGCAAUGACACACAGAAAAACAGGAGAGAUAUAAAAACACAAGGCAUAUGCACACAUUUUCUAACAAAGUUUCAAGACAGGUAUAUCUGUUUAAUUUGGGGUCAACCAAAGAGAAGUUGCUACUGAGUAGCAGUGCUGCUGGGUGUUUGUGAAAAUCCCAGGAGAUCCGCAGUUUCUUAAAACACUCAGGCUAGCCUGUCUGGCACCAACAUGCCAUGAUCAAAGUCCCGGAGAUGACAUUUUUCCUCAUUCUGAUGUUUUAUGUGAUCAUUACUUGAAGCUCUUGACCUGUAUUUGCAUAAUUUUACACUAUGCACUGCUGCCACAUGACUGGAUAACUGAAUAAAUGUGUAUAAAUUAAUACAGUAGUUCAAUGGAAAUUUGCUUAAUGUGUGUGAUUUCUAAAAAAAAAAGGGGGACAUUAUCUAGUUCAGGAUCACUUCUUCUGAAUGAUUUCAGGAUGACGACUUCUGAAUCACAUCAGAUGAAUGUUUGCUUUCUCAUGAAUGGUCAUAUCACUUAUGUGAAUAUGUGAAUUUCAGGGGUAUCAAUCCAUCAAGAACACAUUGGUUUGGUAACACAGCUCCUUUGACAAGCCAAGAAAAGCAAGGUAGAGCUGCUGGUGGUGUGGUUAACUCUGGACAACUGUUAUGCUAGUUUGAGAUGCUUGUGAGACUCCAAAGAAGAUAAUGGGCUGGGAAAAGGUGAUAUUAAAGACAGAAUAGCUGAAAUUAGGUUACAGGAGUGCAU